AGUCUUGGGGUGUCACACGUCAGAUUGCAAACCUGAAGAAGCGGACGAAAGUCUGCCGGGACUU
rnacentral:tRNA from 1 species